GUUUCUGCAUGGCUUCCCGGAGAUAUGGUACUCUUGGAGGCACCAGAUGCUGGCGGCGGCGGCCGCCGGUUUCCGAGCCAUCGCGCCUGAUUUCAGAGGCUACGGUCUAUCCGAUAAGCCUUCCGAUGACUCAUCAUGGGGCGAUCUAGUCGCCGAUCUCCUUGCACUCUUGGACUCCCUAGCCAUUCCCAAGGUGUUUCUUGUGGGGAAAGAUUUUGGUGCCUUGAUAGUCUACCAGUUUGCAAUCCUCCAUCCAAAGAGGGUGAUUGGAGUCGUGACGCUCGGCGUCCCAUUCAUCGCUAAGCGAAUCUCUCACGAUAGCGUCCCCAGUGGGUUCUACUUUGCAAGGUGGCAGGAGCCUGGU
rnacentral:misc_RNA from 1 species